CCUACGGGUGGCAGCAGUGGGGAAUAUUGCACAAUGGGGGAAACCCUGAUGCAGCGACGCCGCGUGAGUGAAGAAGGAUUUCGGAAUGGAAAGCUCUAUCAGCAGGGAAGAAAAUGACGGUACCUGAGGAAGAAGCAACGGAUAACAACGAGCCAGCAGCCGCGGUAAGACGGAGGGGGCAAGCGUGAUCCGGAUUUACUGGGUGUAAAGGGAGCGAAGACGGCAGCACAAGUCUGGAGUGAAAUGCCGGGGCUUCACCCCGGAACUGCUUGGGAAACUGUGCAGCUAGAGUGCAGGUGAGGUAAGUGGACUUCCUAGUGUAGCGGUGACAUGCUUAGAUAUUA
rnacentral:rRNA from 1 species